rnacentral:rRNA from 1 species
AGAGUUUGAUCAUGGCUCAGGACGAACGCUGGCGGCGUGCCUAACACAUGCAAGUCGAACGGAGAUACUUUUGAAGCUUGCGAAGGAGUAUCUUAGUGGCGGACGGGUGAGUAACGCGUGGGUAAUCUGCCCAUAAGCGGGGAACAACAGUUGGAAACGACUGCUAAUACCGCAUAAACUGCCUAAGGGCAGGAAAGGUGGCCUCUGAAUAUGCUGCCGCUUAUGGAUGAGCCCGCGUCUGAUUAGCUGGUUGGUGGGGUAAAGGCCUACCAAGGCGACGAUCAGUAGCCGGCCUGAGAGGGUGAACGGCCACACUGGGACUGAGACACGGCCCAGACUCCUACGGGAGGCAGCAGUGGGGAAUAUUGCGCAAUGGGGGAAACCCUGACGCAGCGACGCCGCGUGAGCGAAGAAGGCCUUAGGGUUGUAAAGCUCUGUUUUAGGGGACGAAAGCUAUAGGGAGAAAAAUGCCCUGUAAAUGACGGUACCCUAAGAGGAAGCCCCGGCUAACUACGUGCCAGCAGCCGCGGUAAGACGUAGGGGGCGAGCGUUGUCCGGAAUUACUGGGCGUAAAGAGCACGUAGGCGGGAACUUAAGUCAGGUGUGAAAGACCGUGGCUCAACCACGGGUAUGCAUUUGAAACUGGGUUUCUUGAGGGCAGGAGCGGAAAGCAGAAUUCCUGGCGUAGCGGUGAAAUGCGUAGAAAUCAGGAGGAAUACCAGUGGCGAAAGGCGGCUUUCUGGACUGACCCUGACGCUGAGGUGCGAAAGCGUGGGUAGCAAACAGGAUUAGAUACCCUGGUAGUCCACGCCGUAAACGAUGGAUACUAGGUGUGGGAGGUAUCGACCCCUCCGUGCCGCAGCUAACGCAAUAAGUAUCCCGCCUGGGGAGUACGGUCGCAAGGCUGAAACUCAAAUGAAUUGACGG